rnacentral:rRNA from 1 species
UACGUAGGGGGCAAGCGUUAUCCGGAUUUACUGGGUGUAAAGGGGGCGCAGACGGCGAUGCAAGCCAGGAGUGAAAGCCCGGGGCCCAACCCCGGGACUGCUCUUGGAACUGCGUGGCUGGAGUGCAGGAGGGGCAGGCGGAAUACCUGGUGUAGCGGUGAAAUGCGUAGAUAUCAGGGGGAACACCGGUGGCGAAGGCGGCCUGCUGGACUGCAACUGACGUUGAGGCCCGAAAGCGUGGGGAGCAAACAGG